GCCACGGUGGUCUAGCGGUUUUGAACGCUGGAUUUGUAAUCCUGGGGUCUCGGGUUCGAUUCCCGGCGGUGCUU
rnacentral:tRNA from 1 species